GAUGAACGCUGGCGGCGUGCCUAAUACAUGCAAGUCGAGCGAACAGACGAGGAGCUUGCUCCUCUGACGUUAGCGGCGGACGGGUGAGUAACACGUGGAUAACCUACCUAUAAGACUGGGAUAACUUCGGGAAACCGGAGCUAAUACCGGAUAAUAUAUUGAACCGCAUGGGUCAAUAGUGAAAGACGGCUUUUCUGUCACUUCUAGAUGGAUCCGCGCCGCAUUAGCUAGUUGGUAAGGUAACGGCUUACCAAGGCGACGAUGCGUAGCCGACCUGAGAGGGUGAUCGGCCACACUGGAACUGAGACACGGUCCAGACUCCUACGGGAGGCAGCAGUAGGGAAUCUUCCGCAAAGGGCGAAAGCCUGACGGAGCAACGCCGCGUGAGUGAUGAAGGUCUUCGGAUCGUAAAACUCUGUUAUUAGGGAAGAACAAAUGUGUAAGUAACUAUGCACGUCUUGACGGUACCUAAUCAGAAAGCCACGGCUAACUACGUG
rnacentral:rRNA from 1 species